GAUGAACGCUGGCGGCGUGCUUAACACAUGCAAGUCGAACGAUGAUGCCCAGCUUGCUGGGUGGAUUAGUGGCGAACGGGUGAGUAACACGUGAGUAACCUGCCCUUGACUCUGGGAUAAGCCUGGGAAACUGGGUCUAAUACCGGAUACGACCAUCUGGCGCAUGUCAUGGUGGUGGAAAGCUUUUGUGGUUUUGGAUGGACUCGCGGCCUAUCGGCUUGUUGGUGGGGUUAUGGCCUACCAAGGCGUCGACGGGUAGCCGGCCUGAGAGGGUGACCGGCCACACUGGGACGGAGACACGGCCCAGACUCCUACGGGAGGCAGAGGGGGGGAAUAUUGCACAAUGGGCGCAAGCCGGAUGCAGCGACGCCGCGUGAGGGAGGACGGCCUUCGGGUUGUAAACCUCUUUCAGUAGGGAAGAAGCGAAAGUGACGGUACCUGCAGAAGAAGCGCCGGCUAACUACGU
rnacentral:rRNA from 1 species